AACGCGAAGAACCUUACCAGGUCUUGACAUCCUCUGACAACCCUAGAGAUAGGGCUUUCCCUUCGGGGACAGAGUGACAGGUGGCGCAUGGUUGUCGUCAGCUCGUGUCGUGAGAUGUUGGGUUAAGUCCCGCAACGAGCGCAACCCUUGAUCUUAGUUGCCAGCAUUCAGUUGGGCACUCUAAGGUGACUGCCGGUGACAAACCGGAGGAAGGUGGGGAUGACGUCAAAUCAUCAUGCCCCUUAUGACCUGGGCUACACACGUGCUACAAUGGACAGAGCAAAGGGCUGCGAGACCGCAAGGUUUAGCCAAUCCCACAAAUCUGUUCUCAGUUCGGAUCGCAGUCUGCAACUCGACUGCGUGAAGCUGGAAUCGCUAGUAAUCGCGGAUCAGCAUGCCGCGGUGAAUACGUUCCCGGGCCUUGUACACACCG
rnacentral:rRNA from 1 species